CCUACGGGAGGCAGCAGUAAGGAAUAUUGGUCAAUGGACGCAAGUCUGAACCAGCCAUGCCGCGUGAAGGAUUAAGGUCCUCUGGAUUGUAAACUUCUUUUAUCUGGGACGAAAAAAGGCGAUUCUUCGUCACUUGACGGUACCAGAUGAAUAAGCACCGGCUAACUCCGUGCCAGCAGCCGCGGUAAUACGGAGGGUGCAAGCGUUAUCCGGAUUCACUGGGUUUAAAGGGUGCGUAGGCGGGCAGGUAAGUCAGUGGUGAAAUCCUAGAGCUUAACUCUAGAACUGCCAUUGAUACUAUCUGUCUUGAAUAUUGUGGAGGUAAGCGGAAUAUGUCAUGUAGCGGUGAAAUGCUUAGAUAUGACAUAGAACACCUAUUGCGAAGGCAGCUUACUACGCAUAUAUUGACGCUGAGGCACGAAAGCGUGGGGAUCAAACAGGAUUAGAUACCCUGGUAGUCCACGCCCUAAACGAUGAUUACUCGACAUUGUGAUACACUAUAAGUGUCUGAGCGAAAGCAUUAAGUAAUCCACCUGGGAAGUACGACCGCAAGGUUGAAACUCAAAGGAAUUGACGGCGAGAGAGNGCGAGGACGACGACGAGGGGAGGAGG
rnacentral:rRNA from 1 species